UCUUCUUCCUGCUUUAUAUAAACAACUCAAAAAUACCACUCCGAAUUUUUAUAUAUAUUUUUUUAAAAAUUACGUAAAAAAGGAAAUGUAACGAGGAUAGACCUGUAAACGUAGACACGAUGAUUCAGAGUUCGAAUCCCGCCGUCCCCAUUUUAGCUUUUGUUUUUUCCUUUCCAUUUUUUUCAUCUUUUUUUUUCUUUCGUAUCUAAGAUAAGAAAAAAUUCUUCUUCUUCGGUCAGAAAUAGGGUAGUUCAUCCAUGAAAGAAUCUUCUUCGUUCUCCUCGAUUAACCAUGAAAUUGGGAAAAAAAAAAUCUAUGAAAACAUCCCUCUUCUUCGUUCUCCUUGAUUAACUUAACGUAUCACUGAAACAAAAAUAAAUCAAAACGAAGAUUUUUUUUUCCCCUCUCGCAUAUCAUCCAUGACAAAGGUGGUAGCAGAUGAACAAGAAAAAACGACGAAACUUCGAAGAGACUUCCCAAGUCAUGGGGCUUAUGGUGGUAACAUUAUUCUGCAGCUCGAUUCUAUAUAGGUAUUUUGAAACUGCUCAGUUCAAAUGGGGUUACUAGAGAAAUCUCCACAAGGUAUCUACUUGCAUCUACAGUUGAAGAAACAAGCAAUUAUUGAAGAUUUCCAUCAGAAACAAGAGCAGGUGUGUCUAUAGUUUCCUUGAUGUUUAAUUUUUUCUUGGAACGGAAAGGCAAGGGCAUCGCCAAUUCCCUAGAUAGAGGGAGGUAUAAAAUAUAGGGAUUUACCUGAAUUGAAAUUUUGAUCAAAAUUGGGGAAACAUUGUUUCUGGUUCUGUAAAUUGUUAAGAUGAUAAUGGAGAUUUUAGUGAUGGUGGAGUGUUGGAGAUUAUGACAGACGUCGAAGACGAUGAUAAUGAGACACAAGGGUUUAGUGGCGGGGAUGAGGGAGAUUUUCCGGGAAACAGUUUAAAUUUUUAGUGGCUAUGUAAUUAUGUAUAAAUUUUUGAUUCAUUAAAACGAGAGUAAUUUCAAUUUAUUGUUGUUUUUUUCCUUUAAUAUAGAUGUUUCUUACUCCCA